rnacentral:lncRNA from 1 species
AACAAUUGCUUGUGAUGUGCAUGCAGGCGCAGCAAAAUCAAGCGUGCUGAUGGUUCAGGGAGUAGCAAAGCAUCUACCAGUUUAGAGUACCCUUUCUUAACCCUGACAUUUUUGGCCAGCAAUCCUACUAUUUACCUCUAUGUGAUAGGGUCCAAUAGUAGUAUGGGCACUACAUGAAUACCAUACAAGGGCACAGCUCCUUGGUG